GGUCUUCCUCUACCCCUUCGGCCCUGAACCUCUGUCCCGUAGUCACAUCUUCGAACCAGAGCGUCAUUCGGCCUUCUUUGCACAUGUCCAAAUCACCGGAGCCGAUUUUCUCUCAUAUUUCCUACAAUUUCGGCUACUCCUACUUUACCUCGGAUAUCCUCAUUCCCAAUCUUAUCCUUUCUCGUGUGCCCACACAUCCCACGAAGCAUCCUCAUCUCCGCUACACCCAUUUUGUGUACGUGUUGAUGCUUCACCGCCCAACAUUCUGUGCCAUACAACAUCGCUGGCCUUAUUGCCGUCCUAUAAAAUUUUCCCUUCAGCUUCAGUCGCCUACGACGGUCACACAACACGCCGGAUGCAUUCUUACACUUCAUCCAUCCAGCUCGUAUUCUAUGGUUGAGAUCUCCAUCUAAUUCUCCGUUCUCUUGCAAGAUAGAUCCUAGGUAGCGAAAACGGUCGCUUUUUGUGAUCUUCGCUAGAUUGCUCCGGUCAUUAGUGUGGAUAAGUAUAUAAAUGGAUAGAGAUAGGAAAGCAAACACAAGAUGUACGUGGUUCACCCAGAUUGGCUACGUCCACGGAAUAGAAGAGUUCUCAUUAAUUGUGAAGGCUUUACACAAGUACAUAGGUUCAAGCUCUCCUUUAGUGAGUACAAGUGAAUGAUUUAGUACAAAUGACAUUAGGAAAUAUUGUGGGAGAAUGAUCUCGUAAUCACGAAACUUCUAAGUAUCGGAGUGUGGUGUCGUCUUGACUUGCCUUAUCUGUCUCAUAGGUAGAUGUGGCAUCUUCUCUGGAAGUACUCUUCCUCCAUCCAUGGGUGGUAUCUUUAACUGGUGGAGAUGCACAAGGUAAUGUAUCAAUUUCACUUGAAGCUUACUUGUAGUUUCAGGCUUGGUCAAGCGCGAUACAAACCAUGUAGUAGGAGUCCCCCAAGUCGCCGAGCUAGGGGGUCUGCUGAAAGAGGUGACAGACAAGGUAAGCAAUCAGAGCUCCGACUGAUUGUUCACCUUCUCCCCAUCUUGCAGCAGCAGCAUGAAGGAUAAAGAGAAGAAAAAUGAGAAGAGAUGAUAUGAGAUACUUUUGCUUUUGAAGAAGUAACUUUCCACAGGCUUAUUCUUGAACUGAGCUGGAGGGUUUUCUGGUUUCCUUCAGAGUAUAAGGCCGACUGAAGAAUUUGAGGGUCAAAACAAGUCCAUCAAAUCUAGAGUACGUUCCACCCUGCUGAUAUGGGAUACUUUUGCUUUUGACAGAGUAAUGGAUGUAUCGGCACGUGUGCUGUUACGCUUGUCUCCACAUGCUUCCUUGUAUCCUUCGCACUUGCCCUAUCUGUUCCUCAAGUAGAUGCGGAAUCUUCCCUGGAAACAUAGGAUGUUGAAGAUGAGUACUCGAGAGCAAUGCCAGGUAAGUAAUCAGGUAAGGGGUUCCAGGCAGUCAGUUCCUGGCUGGAAGCUUGAUUCCAAGUGCUGACUGAUUGCUCUCUUUCUCCUUGUCUUGCAGGUAAAAACAAGGCCAAAGGAAAAGACAGGGAAAAAGCAUGAUAUGGGAUACUCUUGCUUUUAACCCUGAUGAUAUGAGAUAUUCUUGCUCUAGUAUAGCUUGUUUGCAGAGGUAUUAUCGGGGGGAAAGAAAGCUGAAUAUUUCGAAAGGCUUCGUUGGGAGUGCCCUCUCAGAUAUGAUGAAGGGUUGAGCAUUUUUGCAGGUCUGCCUGUCCGUUGGGGAUGGAGGUCGACAUAUAUAGGAGUCUCCCUAACAAGUAGUAAUGCUAUUCCUUUACCCUGCUUGGUCAUAGCACGGUAGUGGGAGCUGCCAGUUUCACAUGUUUUAACUCUGUCAGAGCACUUUGAAAAAGUGGUCUGUGGUAUCUGGCUCUUGAGAUUCGGAGAAUGAUGCCUUUUCGAUUUUUACGAAAGCAAUCAUGCUGGGGGUCUGGCUCUCGAGAUUCGGAGAGCAAUGUCUCUUCGAUUUUUGAGAAAGUAAUCAUGUUGGGAGUCUGGCUCUCGAGAUUCGGAGGGCGGUGCCUCUUCGAUUUUGGAGCAAGCAAUCUUGUUGGGAGUGUUGUCUCGAAUGUGAGUAAAGGUUGGGCAUGUUUGCUAGUCUACCUUGCCACGAAGCACAAAGGUUGACACACAGGGACUUUCCAAUUAUCCAGCAAUGGUACUGUUCCUUUACCCUCUCUUCGAUUUUGAGAAAGUAGUCAUGCUGGGAGUCUGGCUCUCGAGAUUCGGAGGACGGUGCCUCUUCGAUUUUGGAGCAAGCAAUCUUGUUGGGAGUGUUUUCUCGAAUGUGAGUAAAGGUUGGGCAUGUUUGCUAGUCUACCUUGCCACGAAGCACAGAGGUUGACAAACAGGGACUUUCCAAUUAUCCAGCAGUGGUACUGUUCCUUUACCCUUGUGGGUAAUAAUAUGGUAGCUAGAGCUUCAAAAUUUAUGUGUCUAAACUUUGUUAGUGCUGUUUCUUUGCUAUUCUUUUACCUUUCUUGGUCAGAGCGAUGUAGUGGGAGCUGCAAGCUUCACGUGCUCAACUUUGGCAGAGAACUUUGGCAAAGUUAUCUGUGGUACCCAUGAGCUAUUGUUGUGUGUAGGAAGUGGGUGAUUGAACAGUAAGAUUCAUGUGCUUUCUACUUCACCAGAAGUCUUCGACAGAAUGCCCAUAAUUUCUGCAAAGCUGAGUGUGCGUGUGACAGGUGCUGACAAGGCUAGAAAAGUAGGUGCCUCUUCGAUUUCUGAGAUCGGCCCUCGUGGUCUCUGAGCAGUCCAGCUUUUGAGAAAGCGAGCGCCUCUUCGAUUGAUUCGGAGAACGAUGCCUCAUCGAUUUUUGAGAAAGCAAUCGUGCUGGGGGUCUGGCUCUCGAAGAUUCGGGGAGCAGUGUCUCUUCGAUUUUUGAGAAAGUAAUCAUGUUGGGAGUCUGGCUCUCGAGAUUCGGAGGGCGGUGCCUCUUCGAUUUUGGAGCAAGCAAUCUUGUUGGGAGUGUUUUCUCGAAUGUGAGUAAAGGUUGGGCAUGUUUGCUAGUCUACCUUGCCACGAAGCACAGAGGUUGACACACAGGGACUUUCCAAUUAUCCAGCAAUGGUACUGUUCCUUUACCCUCUCUUCGAUUUUUAAGAAAGUAGUCAUGUUGGGAGUCUGGCUCUCGAGAUUCGGAGGACGGUGCCUCUUCGAUUUUGGAGCAAGCAAUCUUGUUGGGAGUGUUUUCUCGAAUGUGAGUAAAGGUUGGGCAUGUUUGCUAGUCUACCUUGCCACGAAGCACAGAGGUUGACACACAGGGACUUUCCAAUUAUCCAGCAGUGGUACUGUUCCUUUACCCUUGUGGGUAAUAAUAUGGUAGCUAGACCUUCAAAAUUUAUGGGUCUAAACUUUGUUAGUGCUGUUUCUUUGCUAUUCUUUUACCUUUCUUGGUCAGAGCGAUGUAGUGGGAGCUGCAAGUGCUCAACUUUGGCAGAGAACUUUGGCAAAGUUUUCUGUGGUACCCAUGAGCUAUUGUUGCGUGUGGGAAGUGGGUGAUUGAACAGUAAGAUUCAUGUGUUUUCUACUUCCCCAGAAGUCUUCGACAGAAUGCCCAUAAUUUCCGCAAAGCUGAGUGUGCGUGUGACAGGUGCUGACAAGGCUGGAAAAGUAGGUGCCUCUUCGAUUUCUGAGAUCGGCCCUCGUGGUCUCUGGGGAGCCCAGCUUUUGAGAAAGCGGGCGCCUCUUCGAUUUCUGAGAUCAGCCUUUGAGGUCUUUGAGCAGCCCAACUUUUGAGAAAGCAAACGCCUCUUCGAUUUCUGAGCAGGCGCCUCUUCGAUUUCUGAAGCUCCGUCGAGUGCAGAUUUUUAUAGGGGCUGGCAUUAAGUUCCAAAGCAUACUUGAAUCUCCACCAGUAGAAGCUUCAUUCUUGCACUUCUAAGAUCUUGAUUUGUCCGACCUCUUCUCUCUUCAACACCUUUGAAAAUGUCUGGCCCCUCCGACCGUCGUUUUGACUUGAACCUUGUUGAAGAGGCAGCCCCGCCUUCUCCAGACAACAUAUGGCGCCCAUCCUUCGUCUCCCCUACUGGUCCUCUUACCGUUGGGGAUUCCGUGAUGAAGAAUGAUAUGACCGCUGCGGUGGUGGCCAGGAACCUUCUCACUCCCAAAGAUAACAGACUACUUUCCAAACGGUCUGAUGAGUUAGCUGUUAAGGAUUCGCUGGCUCUCAGUGUUCAGUGUGCAGGUUCUGUGUCUAAUAUGGCCCAACGCCUAUUUUCUCGAACCCGCCAAGUUGAAUCAUUGGCGGCUGAAGUGAUGAGUCUCAAACAGGAGAUUAGAGGGCUCAAGCAUGAGAAUAAACAGUUGCACCGGCUCGCACAUGACUAUGCUACAAACAUGAAGAGGAAGCUUGACCAGAUAAAGGAAACUGAUGGUCAGGUUUUACUUGAUCAUCAGAGAUUUGUGGGUUUGUUCCAAAGGCAUUUAUUGCCUUCGUCUUCUGGGGCUGUACCGCGUAAUGAAGCUCCAAAUGAUCAACCUCUGAUGCCUCCUCCUUCUAGGGUUCUGUCCAGUACUGAGGCUCCAAAUGAUCCCCCUCCGGUGCCUUCUCUUUCUGGGGCUCUACCGACUGCUGAGACUUCUCCUAAGCAACCUUUGUGAAGGCUCCCUCUUGUGUGUUUAUUUUGACUCAUGUAUAUGUACAUAUUUGUAGCUUAUCGGGGAUAUCAAUAAAUAAGAUUUCAUUCAUUUCAACGUAUUGUGUUAGAUACACCAAAACCUUAUUCGCUAAGUUCUUUGAAUUUUCUUUUGUUGAAGCUUGUAUGUUGAAGCUUUCUGAGUAGAGCAUGUAGGUUGGGGUAGUGUUCCCUUAAUUUUCCGAGUGAGGAAAACUUCUCGGUUGGAGACUUGGAAAAUCCAAGUCACCGAGUGGGAUCGGCUAUAUGAAUCUUAGAACGCCAUUGUGCUCGAUCCUGUGUCAUGUCCUUCGUUAGAUCCAAGUACUCUAAGUCUUUUCUUAGAGUCUCUUCCAAAGUUUUCCUAGGUCUUCCUCUACCCCUUCGGCCCUGAACCUCUGUCCCAUAGUCGCAUCUUCUAAUCGGAGCGUCAGUAUGCCUUCUUUGCACAUGUCCAAACCACCGAACCGAACCAAACUUCAUUGGUACGGUUUCAGUUUUGGAGGUUCGGAGAUUGAACUGAACCGAACCAAAUCGAAUCCCUUCACACUUUAUAAUUGUAUGUCCAUAAUGUUUUUUUGUGAAACUUUGUUGCCAAGUUUGAAACUAAGCCUAGGGAUUUUUCAAGGAGCAUACUUGGUUCAAUUAGGGAGGAUAUUCCAUUGGUUAUGAAGGAAAGUUUUGGAAGACUUUGAAACUCGGAAGAGCAUCUCUAUUUAUUUGCUUUUUGAAUGGAUAUGGUGAUAUUAUUAUUACUUUUUUUUUUUUUUUGCAAUUGAGGUUGUUGAUAGAAUAUGAUUGGUUUAUAUGAUCUUGUAUAUGUACAACUACAUUUCUACUUUUCCUAUUUUCUUAUUAUUAGUCUACCAAUGCAUCUAAAUUCCAUAUUAAAAAAAAAAUUUAUAAAAUGAAAAAACCGAAACCGAACUAAA
rnacentral:lncRNA from 1 species